rnacentral:rRNA from 1 species
UUUAGUCUAGUCAGAGGAACCUGCUUUUGUAUCGAUAUGACACGCGGAAUCUUACUUAUUUUUGUUUUUAGUUUGUAUACCAUCAUUAGCAGAUAAUUUUUAAAAAAUAAAAUUAUUGUAAUUGAUUGUUUAAAAAAAUUAGAUCAAGGUGCAGCUUAUAAAUAAGUUAGAGUGGGUUACAAUAAGUUUUUACUUAAAUGGAAUAAAAUUAGAAUUUUUUUUAGGAAGGCGGAUUUGAUUGUAGUAUAAAUUUUAAUAAGUUUGUAGGAUAAAAGCUCUAAACUGUGUACACAUCGCC